GACGAACGCUGGCGGCGUGCCUAAUACAUGCAAGUAGAACGCUGAAGGAGGAGCUUGCUUCUCCGGAUGAGUUGCGAACGGGUGAGUAACGCGUAGGUAACCUGCCUGGUAGCGGGGGAUAACUAUUGGAAACGAUAGCUAAUACCGCAUAACAGUAGAUGUUGCAUGACAUUUGCUUAAAAGGUGCAAUUGCAUCACUACCAGAUGGACCUGCGUCGUCUUAGGUAGUUGUUGAGGUAACGGCUCACCAAGGCGACGAUACAUAGCCGACCUGGGAGGGGGGUUGGGCACACUGGGACUUGGACCCGGCCCAGACUCCUACGGGAGGCAGCAGUAGGGAAACUUCGGCAAUGGACGGAAGUCUGACCGGGCAAAGCCGCGUGAGGGAAGAAGGGUCUCGGAUCGUAAAGAUCUGGUGUAAGGGAAGAACGAGUGUGGGAGUGGAAAGUUCACACUGUGACGGUAUCUUACCAGAAAGGGACGGCUAACUACGUG
rnacentral:rRNA from 1 species